CCUUGGCCUCUCAAAGUGCUGAGAUUACAGGCAUGAGCUACCUGCCCUGCCUGUAGUUAGGGUUUGGACACAUUCUGCCUGACACCAACAUCUAUCCUCUCUAACAGCCAGAUUACAUAGCCUCUUUGUAGUAAUAAAUGUUGAGUGAAUGUGUCAGUGAACACUGCCAGGGUAUACAUAUUUUUCUAAUUGUAAACUAAAGAGAGCAAUCCACCGUGCCCCAGCACCUGCAUCAUAC
rnacentral:lncRNA from 10 species